rnacentral:rRNA from 1 species
GAGUUUGAUCCUGGCUCAGAUUGAACGCUGGCGGCAUGCCUUACACAUGCAAGUCGAACGGCAGCACGGGAGCUUGCUCCUGGUGGCGAGUGGCGAACGGGUGAGUAAUGCAUCGGAACGUAUCCUGGAGUGGGGGAUAACGUAGCGAAAGUUACGCUAAUACCGCAUAUUCUGUGAGCAGGAAAGCGGGGGACCUUCGGGCCUCGCGCUCUUGGAGCGGCCGAUGUCGGAUUAGCUAGUUGAUGAGGUAAAGGCUCACCAAGGCGACGAUCCGUAGCAGGUCUGAGAGGAUGAUCUGCCACACUGGAACUGAGACACGGUCCAGACUCCUACGGGAGGCAGCAGUGGGGAAUUUUGGACAAUGGGGGCAACCCUGAUCCAGCCAUGCCGCGUGAGUGAAGAAGGCCUCGG